CUGUGUCUGUUGUUUUUAUUUCUAUUUCUAGUAUCGGGGUAGUAAGACUACCUGCUUCACCGGGCUGGGGCGCAGAUUAAGCAGGCUAACAUUGACCAGGGGAUUGGUGCAGUGCCUGGCACACAGUGGAUGUUACAUACGUGUUUGCUGAAAAAGUCAGCAGUCAGGGCUUGGCAUAUGGGGCAGCUGAUGAGAUGACUAAAAGCCCCCACACUUCCAAGGAACCCGACAAAGUGGUGACAGGUAAUCAGCUGGAAAGACAGUGGUGGGGGUGCAUACGCAUAUGUGUUUGUGUGUGCAUGGUAAGUGUGUGUUUGAGCGUAUUUUGCAUGUAUGUGUGCACAUACAUCUAUGCUGUUUGUAUGUGUGCAUGUGAAUAUGUGUGUGUAUUUGUAAGCAUGCAUGUGUGUUGUGUUGG
rnacentral:lncRNA from 1 species